ensembl:lncRNA
CACACACACACACACUUCUGUGAACUGGGGCAUAGUUAUGAUAACUAAAGACAAAUACACUCAGAUACAUACAUACAAAUACACAUAUGGCUCAUGUUAAACAUUACCAAAAAUAAUCCAUUGGUCUGUUCCAGGUCGUUUACCCUUGUCAAGCCGUCUUCCAGUCUCUCUCUCUCUGUGUGUUUGUGUGUAUUUGCACAUAUCUGUGUAGUGUGUAGGCCAUCCUUGUUCUUGAUUCACUCAUCACUAACAUGAAUCUGCUCUGCUAAUGUAAGGGAAUAACUGAUUUCCUGUGGUGUCAUAUACCAGGGUGGGAUUCAUGAAAGACAACUGAAAAAAUAAACAUUUUUCUCUCAGAAGGGGCAUAUUAGUUCACUCUUGGGAAAUAUGGCAAACGCAUCUUCAUCAGUUAAACGUUUGUGGCAAAAGUUGUUCCAAAUCAGAAGGAAUGCAUGGAGAACACACAUUUAGGAAGAAAGAAAGGGGCUCCCUCUGUUCAGACAUGUCUGUUCCUCGUAGUGCUGGUUCAUUAUCAGGAGAUUCAGGAAGUUCAUGAAGUGGAUGGCUAAUGACCUGAGGACCAUCAUUAUCGUGGCAGACCAUGUGCGGGGUCUGUGGGUGCGCUAACUCGCUUAAACACCCGAGCCACAUCUGCAGAGGAUCUGAAGUCUAUGGUCAUCGCCAUAAAAGUCUCAACACUGAGUAAAGAAAUCGUAGGAUCUAAACAGUGACAUCCGUGCCAUCCUACAUCACAUACACAUAAACAGAGACCAAAAAGUAUUAGAAAUGAUUCCUAGCGAAGUUCUACCCGAGUUAUACAGUACAUAAUGUGAGGUCAGGAUAGUGACCACAUCUCUGGUCAUGUCUUUUAGUGGCCUCUGACCUCAUUGUAUGUGUAUGUCUGUGGGUUGUAACCCAGCAUUCAAAAUCUUUUAUCUUCCUUCAUCUGGAACAAGCAAAAUAUCAGUUUUGGCUAAAGCCAUCUCUAUGUUAAGAUAAGGUUGAAACCACACAGUAUUUGCAGUUCUUGAUCCGUGGUAAUAUUUUCUUUGG